UAAAUCAUAUUUUGUUUAUUAUAUAUAUUUUUUUAAAUGAAGUUUUCAAUAUUAUCAAACACAUGAUUUUUGUUUGUUUGUCGUUGGUCAACACUGAACUUAAGCAAACAAAAAACAAGCAUGAAUUAAAUUAAAAAUAAAUAAAUAAUAAGAUAAGAUAAUAAGAUAAAAAUAACAAAAUAAAUAAUGAUAAAUUACGUUUGAAAUGUAUAAUGAACGUAUUCAGCGUUUUGUUCAAGCUUAUUUGACCUUUUAUCUAGUUAGCUAGAAAAAAAUAUAUUUUAAAAGACUUGCUGUUGAAGCAUUAACAUUAACGCUGCUAUAAAGAGCAAACUAGAACACACAUAAAUAAAGUAGAUGUACUAACAGUUGUAACAGAAACUAUGUAAUGAUUUUACUUCGAUACAUGUUUAACAGUAAAGUCGUUAACAAGGGCUUACUAAUAGAGGUACUGAGAUUUGAAAUGCUAAUUCUACUUGGUGAUGCAGAAAGGUGCGGUCGCUCAGUAUUAUAAAGUAGACAUAUCCGUCUAGACGAUAAUAGUGAGUUGCUCACUUAUUGCUUUAUUCUGAACUUAUAUAUUAUUUAACAUGGUGUCAGCGGUGGGAUACAAGAAAAUACUAAUCUAAAUUAUUCAUAAGUUUGUUCAAAGGCAAGAAUUAUUUUGACAUUAGUUAGUUUGAAUUUAAGAAAAAAAAAACAGAACAAAACAUUUCUGUUCUAUUAAUCUUGAAUUCUUUAGUGUAGUGACACCGAUGAAGACUUUAAAAAAUUAACAUCUGUGUUUGAAAUAAAUUAUUCUUUUUUGAUAAAUAUAAAAUAUAUACAUCACAAUAGAUAACACGUAUAUGUUUUUCUAAUUACAAAAUAAACAAUCGAUGUAUGUAUUGCGAGAGGCAUAAAUAACAAAUGCUUUUUGCAUAUUAAGAUAUAUACAUGAUCAAGUGUUCAUAUUUCAAUCAUAAAUAAACCAUAGCAAUGAAAAAAAUCCAAUAAAAUUACAACAUAAUACGAUGUCGUCAUGCACGUCAACAUUUUAGAAGAUAAGUUAAACUAAUUGCAUCUUUAGUAAAUCUCUGAGUUGCAUUUGAUAUGUUAAAAAUAUUUCAGAAUCAUUUCCAACUAAUACUAGAUUAACCACAUUACAUAAAGAAAACUAAAGCUUACCCAAAUUUUACUUUCAUACUGCUUCCUGUCAAUCUAACAUACUACU